UACGUAGGGUGCGAGCGUUAAUCGGAAUUACUGGGCGUAAAGCGUGCGCAGGCGGCGCGUUAAGACAGGUGUGAAAGCCCCGAGCUUAACUUGGGAAUUGCGCUUGUGACUGGCGUGCUGGAGUGUGGCAGAGGGAGGUGGAAUUCCACGUGUAGCAGUGAAAUGCGUAGAGAUGUGGAGGAACACCGAUGGCGAAGGCAGCCUCCUGGGCCAGCACUGACGCUCAUGCACGAAAGCGUGGGGAGCAAACAGGA
rnacentral:rRNA from 1 species